AUCCUGGCUCAGGACGAACGCUGGCGGCGUGCUUAACACAUGCAAGUCGAACGGUGAUGGCCAGCUUGCUGGUCUGAUCAGUGGCGAACGGGUGAGUAACACGUGAGUAACCUGCCCCUGACUCUGGGAUAACUACCGGAAACGGUGGCUAAUACCGGAUAUGAGGUGCCUGGACAUCUGGGCGCCUGGAAAGUUUUUCGGUCAGGGAUGGGCUCGCGGCCUAUCAGCUUGUUGGUGGGGUGAUGGCCUACCAAGGCGACGACGGGUAGCCGGCCUGAGAGGGCGACCGGCCACACUGGGACUGAGACACGGCCCAGACUCCUACGGGAGGCAGCAGUGGGGAAUAUUGCACAAUGGGCGCAAGCCUGAUGCAGCGACGCCGCGUGCGGGAUGACGGCCUUCGGGUUGUAAACCGCUUUCAGCAGGGAAGAAGCGCAAGUGACGGUACCUGCAGAAGAAGCGCCGGCUAACUACGUGCCAGCAGCCGCGGUAAUACGUAGGGCGCAAGCGUUGUCCGGAAUUAUUGGGCGUAAAGAGCUCGUAGGCGGUUUGUCGCGUCUGCUGUGAAAUCCUCAGGCUCAACCUGGGGCUUGCAGUGGGUACGGGCAGACUAGAGUGCGGUAGGGGUGACUGGAAUUCCUGGUGUAGCGGUGGAAUGCGCAGAUAUCAGGAGGAACACC
rnacentral:rRNA from 1 species